rnacentral:antisense_RNA from 1 species
CCUGGUUCAGCCGCCUCUGCCUGCGAGACGGUUCAAUUCCUGCGUGCGGACGUUUGUUUUGUUGGACCUUGACCUGACUAGGAAAUUUCCCUCUCUCAUUGCAGUUUCGGGCAUCCUCGUCCGGAGCACGCUGGGCGUGGCAUGGUUAAGGCUCAGCCUUCGAACUUUGUAUCAAAGGCGUGUGAGGAGCCAGAGUCCCAGGCCGGAAGUCAUAAGUGCGAAGGGGCGUUUCUCUGCACGGUGUGCUUAGUUUUUGUUAAUAUUGCACCAUAAGCGGAAAAUAGAGUCGGGAACUGAUUGAAGUUACUUUGAACGCACCAAGAUUUUUUUCCGGUCUCUGGUUUGUGUCUUAAUUUCCAUACUGUUAAUGUUUUAGGGAAACGUAAUAAUGGUGCAUUAUUGGCCUCGUUUUGUUUGAAAAUCAGAUCUUCACAUAAUUUUGGGUUGGGUAGUUGGGGUUCAGAGGAAAUUGGCAAGAGGGCUGGGGUUUUUCGGGGACGCCAGCGUUGCCAUUCCAAGCAUGCUGCCCAGAACUACUGUAGAUGGGAAGAGAAAGCUGCUCUAAUGUGUCCGCAGCCCUCUCAAGUGCUACCAUAUAAUUCGCGUCUUAUUUGGCCUCAAGACAGUUGGCCUCACAAUAGAUAUAAGAUGUGGUUUAGUAGACACCUAGUCCAGUGGAUAGGAGGAUGCUCUCAUGGACUGGACACAUCAAGUUUUUAGCCUGUUUAAUUAAACCUAGAAAAAUUGUUACAUGUUAGAAAGUUUUUAUUGAUGAUAAAAUGUUCUCUGAACUCAUUUUCUUGCUUCUUUAAAUACGUAUCUGGUUUCAAUCUUAGCACUGCUACUUACUAAUGUUUAUUUUAUUUGGGUUUUAGUUGUUUUGUAAUCAGAAGCAUAGGAUAACAUUUGUCCCAAUGGUUUGCUUUCAGUGAAUGUUGGGAUGACCGAAUGACUUCCUAGUGAAUGCAUUUUCUUUUCUCCUUCCAACCCCUGAAAUUAGACAAAUGUAUUAAUGAAAUAGUCAUUAAAAUUCAACUAUAAAUGUUUACAGAAACUGGUACAUCUAUCCUAUGGAAUAUUUAGUAACAAAUAGGAACACAGUAUUGAUGAACACACCCUGAAAUGAAUCUGUAGGAAAUUAUGGUUAAAGAAAAAGCCAAUCUCAAAUGCUUAUAUACUGUGUAAUUCCAUUAUGUAACAUCUCAGAAUUGAUAAAUUUAUGUAAGUGGACAACAGAAUAAUUGAUUGCCAUGGGUCAGGGAAUGGAAAUCCUGCAUCUUGUCUAUAUUAAUGUCAGUAUUCUGGUUGUGAUAUUGGAAUAGUUUUGUAACAUGUCACCACUGGGGGAAACUAGAUUAAAGAUAUACACGGUCAUCUGUAUAUUAUUUCUUAAAACUGCAUGUGACACAAUUGUCUCAAUAUAAAAAGUUUGAUUAAAAAAAUACAGCUAUAGACUUGACAGAGCACUUCCUAUAGGCAUUCUAUAAACCUUUAUUAAAACUAAAUCUCACUUAAAAAUAAUUUUUUUAUAGUAAAUCUGGUCUCUCAGUUAAGGAUAUGAAUGAUCCUCAGAAGCAAUACAAAUGAAUAAGACAUUUAAAAACUUCACUAAGCAAAAUAAUGCAAAUUAAAAUGCAUGUUUUAGUCAUUUGUAUUGAUUCACUUGUCAAGUUAACAAAGCUUUACAGUUAGAAAUAUUCAGUAUUUGCAAGGAUACAAUGAAAUGGUACUAUUCUAAACUGCUGCAGAUAAUGAAACUCAUUCUGAGAAAUUAUUCGGAAAUACCAAGAGCCAGAAACAAACUAAAUGCUCAAAAAUUGAAGGAUGAUUAAAUUUGCUGGUGUAUUCUUGUUAUAUAGGCAUAAUAAAUAUAUUUUUUAAAACAAUAAUAUGGAAAAAUGCUUGCUGAAUAAUGUGUGAAAAAUCAGGAUAGAAAAUUAUAUGUAUGUUCCAAAUGAUGUUUAAAACAAAACAUAUACAUUCUUACAUUCUUUCUUACACGUGUUUCUUGAAAAUAAAGGCUGGAUGGUAAAUAUCAAAA